ACAUAACUUUCGACAAUAUAUACAUAUUUACAUAACUAUGUAUAUAAUUUGUAUAUCUCAUGAUUAUUCGAAAGCUAUUUUUACUUUAAUAAGUUUCUUCUUAGUUCAAAAUUAUGAUUAUAUUUUGAAUCGCUAUUUUAUUACUAGAUAAAUAAGCUCGUUAAUAAAUUUAUACCAAUUUCGUUUUGUCUUAAAUAAAAUGGCUAGUUAUUAAUUUGAACUCAUUUUCCCUUUUAAUUCGGAAGAAUCAACUUUCAUCCUAAUACUUUAACUCCAGGCCCAUCUCAGCUCUUCCAGCCCACUUCAGCUUUUAAAAAGAACAAACCCAAUUCCCAGGCCCAACCUCCUUUAGUUUAACCCAACCCACUUCAUCCUAACCCACUCCCUUCUCCCCUUUACUUAUAACCCGGCCCAAUUCCUCUUAACCCAGCCCAACCCCAAUUCCCGCUCCGACCCAUUUCCCCUCCCCUUCCUCUCCCUCACCCCACGCGACCCCCCCAAAACAGAAAACCAGAACAGACGCGAACGGAAAGAAAAAAGAAAAAUUCCCAGAACCCCGCGUCUCCCUCACGCACGAACCCCUCCCUUUCUCCUCCCUCGUGUCACCUCACGUGACCUCUCCCUCCCAACGUCUCUCUGGCAGUACGUCUCCAGCUACUGCGUAGCAGGUCGUACUGCUCGUCCUAGCAGUAGCGGAUUUGCGACACGUAGCUCGCUAGUACCACAAAAUCAUCUCCACCCUCCACCUUGCUCUCAAUCCAUUGGAAUGGCUUAAAAUUUGAAGAAUCUUCGUAGCAUAUUCAUUUUGUUGGAUAAAUUUUGAAAUUUCGAAUUCGAAACGGGUCGAAUUCGGUUUUAUCCGCCUUCACUUGGAACCCUAAUUAUUUUCCUAUUUAAACCCGAUCUUCCUUCAAACAACGGGUUGGAGGAAUUUUGUUGGGAAAAUGCUGCUUCCUGUUCUGUAUGUGGUUAGAGAUUUAGGUUGGGAAUUUUUGUUGAAAGUUGGGGUUGGAUUUUUGGAAAAAGGAACUCUAUCACUAAGGGGUUGGGAGAAUUUUUCGAGAAAUAUUUGAUUUCUUUUCGGUCUGUUGUAGAAGAAUAGUUGGAAAAUUUUGAAAAAAUUCUUUUGGGUUGUUCUGUCUGCUUCUGAGGGAACUAAAGGAAGUUUGUUUUGGGUUAGAAAAUUUGCGUUGAAACUUAAGAGAGAAAAUCCUUGGCUUCAUUGUUUCUUUAGAUAGAAAGGUUUUGGGAAUUCCAGGAAUAUCGCUUCAUCACAUAGGACUUGCAAGCUGUUCGAUGCCGUGACUCGUAUUCCUCCUUUGUGUUCGUGUUUUUUUUCGUUUGGUGUGGAAGUUGCUGUCGUUUGCUGCUUGUUCCUGUUCCGUUCGCUGCCCGGAAAGAGAGAGCUAUAAAGGUUCAAGUUAAUUCAUCGAGUCAAGCCUUGAAACCGACGACGAGGAGAUCCCGGAGUUAGAAGAUUGGAGAAACUCGAAGAAAUGGACUAGAAGACUUUUUCUUUAUUUUGUUUUGUAUUUUAUUUUUGUAAUGGGCAUAAGCCCUUGUUGCUUUUCUUUCUCGUAUUUUAUUUUGUACAUUUAGAUUAGGACAGGUGAACGGGUUAAAAAAACCCAAAAAACAGGUGGGUUCAAAACUCGAUCAAGGCGAACAGAACCCGAGUUUGGACCCAAAUCUCUCUCUCUCUCCCCUCCCCGUUACUUGUUUUAUAUGUUUGCGUGGACUAUCGUUAGUCUAGGGUUAGAAACUCCAAACCCCCGUCGACGCCUUUUAUUUUAUCAAAUUAAAAAAUUAAAAUGAA